rnacentral:rRNA from 1 species
GGUGACCUGCGGAAGGAUCAUUACCGAGUGAGGGCCCUCUGGGUCCAACCUCCCACCCAUGUUUAUUGUACCUUGUUGCUUCGGCGGGCCCGCCUCACGGCCGCCGGGGGGCUUCUGCCCUCUGGCCCGCGCCCGCCGAAGACACCAUUGAACACUGUCUGAAGAUUGCAGUCUGAGCAAUUAGCUAAAUAAGUUAAAACUUUCAACAACGGAUCUCUUGGUUCCGGCAUCGAUGAAGAACGCAGCGAAAUGCGAUACGUAAUGUGAAUUGCAGAAUUCAGUGAAUCAUCGAGUCUUUGAACGCACAUUGCGCCCCUUGGUAUUCCGGGGGGCAUGCCUGUCCGAGCGUCAUUGCUGCCCUCAAGCACGGCUUGUGUGUUGGGCCCCGUCCUCCUUCCCGGGGGACGGGCCCGAAAGGCAGCGGCGGCACCGCGUCCGGUCCUCGAGCGUAUGGGGCUUUGUCACCCGCUCUUGUAGGCCCGGCCGGCGCUUGCCGACAACCAUCAAUCUUUUUUCAGGUUGACCUCGGAUCAGGUAGGGAUACCCGCUGAACUUAAGCAUAUCAAUAAGCGGAGGAAAAGAAACCAACAGGGAUUGCCUCAGUAACGGCGAGUGAAGCGGCAAGAGCUCAAAUUUGAAAGCUGGCCCCCUCGGGGUCCGCAUUGUAAUUUGCAGAGGAUGCUUCGGGAGUGGCCCCCAUCUAAGUGCUCUGGAACGGGCCGUCAUAGAGGGUGAGAAUCCCGUAUGGGGAUGGGGUGUCCGCGACCAUGUGAAGCUCCUUCGACGAGUC